AUAUGCAUACGCACCGUUAAAAACUAAAAUUGUUGUAUUGUAGUUUAGGUAGAAUAGUUAAACUUGAAUUUGUAUUGUAGUUUAAGUGGAAUUCUUAAAAUUGAAUCUGUAUUGUAGUUUAGGUAUAGUAUUUAAAAUUAAUUUUGUAUUGCAUUGUAGUUUAGGAUAAAUAGUUAAGAUGGAAAUCAUCUUAAAAUUCAAUUUGUAGGAUAAAUUUGAAAUGGAAAUAAAUCUUCUUAGUAAUUUAGGUAGACUGCUUAAACUUGAAUUUGUAAUAUAGAUCGACUUUGGAAAAAUUUCUUUUAAUAUAGGAAGAAUGGCUAGAAUAAAAUUAAUUAAGAAAGAUAAAAGGAAGAGGUUUAAUUGUUUGUAGGGUAAAAGAAAUCUUACUAGUUGGUUUGCAGACAUCAUGCCAUGAUAAAAUAGUCACUAUUCGAAAGAAUUUGCUAUUCAAAGAGUGUUUUAGUUCAACUUUUCGAACAUUAACAAUAUUAGUUUUUCUAGUUUUUUCUUUCUUAGGUUUCUUGAAAUAUUUUAGCAUCUUUCAAUAGAUCCAAUUGUAUUUUGAUCUAAGAUACUAUUAUCAACCAAUGAAACUACGAGAUAUUUCAGAAAAAAAUUACAAGAAGAUUUCAACGUCAUGAUCGAGCUUAAACGAAAGCAGAUCCGAGAAAGGAAACAGGAAUAAAGCUUGAAGUUGUGGAGAUAUUUCUAACCUUUGGAAAUCGAAAAUGGCAGCCGCACAAAAACUCUCCAGCAAAAGACGAAGACACAAAGUUGAACAAGAGAACUAAAUACAAGAUGCGAAUUGGGCUCUAUUGGGCCUUUCUUUAAAUCUAGUAGAUCGUCAAUCCAAACGCCGCCGUUUCGUUGGAGGUAAGACUCUUACUGGGUUUCACAUUUCUUCUUUUACUUGUGUGUUUCAAAUUCAGGUUUCUUUCUGUUUGUUGUGAUGGCUAAGAGAUUCACAACACAGCUUUUCGUCAGCAGUAACGAUAAAACUUUUCUCAUCUUCACUUAUAAAUUCUCAGUUAUUAUUUAUAAUCUGCUUUUCUCAGUUUUUGAAUUUUUAUUUUCAAUUGCAGGACUCUCUGCUUACACCACAGAUCAAUCACUGAGGCAACUGUUUGCGCCUUUUGGUCAGAUUAUAGAAGGUACAUUCACAAAAUCUGAUUAUGUGUCUCUGCUCUGAUUAUGUGUCUCUGCUCUGAUUAUGUGUCUGAACUAAUUGUGUAGUGUGUAUGUUACUGUUCUUAGCUCGUCUUAUUAGGGACCAGCAAACACAAAGACCUAAGAGCAACCCCAAUGGAGGGGCCUAGAGAGACUCUUAGCUCUGAAUCCUUAAGAAAAGAGGUCCAAAUUAAAUAAAAAAUGUGGAUAAAGAUAAGAAACGUACCUUAGUUUAGAGUUUUUUUUGUCUGCAAGAGUCCAUACGUGUCAGUUUUCUAUUGGUGUGCAUAGAGAGAAAACAAUUAAUUUUUCCCCCUCUCUCUCUCUUCUCUUGUAAUCUCCGAUGGCUGCGAAAUGAAGAACAUGGUCUCGACUCUCGAUCAUCAUCGUCGAAGUGUUUAGAUCAUCAAAUCGUCAGAGAAAAUCCGAAGAAACUGGUCUCCUAGCCGCCGUGAUCAAAUCGUGAUGAACUAGGGUUUUUUGAAUUGGUAAUUGAUGAAUUUGGUCACAGACAAAUUCUUAGAGAAAUAAACAAGGUCCGUUCUCUGAAUCCUCAAACAUCGAUUCUCUAGAUCUAGAAUUAUCUUUAGCAUCAUCUUUUGAUUUGAUCUCUCUCUAAUCUGGAUCUUCCUCAGCGAUUGAUGGUUUAUAAAUAGCUUGAGUGACUUGAUCUUUGCGUGAACACAGGACCGAAUUUGAAUGGAUUGUUUGGAAGACAAUCUGGAACAACACCAGGAUACUCAUACUCUGUUGGGAGGAGAAGACUCUUUACGAUUACUUGUUGAAUCCUAAGAAGGUAUUUGAUUGUUCUUUAUUAUUCCUUAAUGGAUUUCAAUAAUAGAGUCUGGCGAAAAUGAGGUUCUUGAUGAUUGUUCAUAAGCUAACUCGUGGAUUUAUACUCUUUUGAUUAUAGAGGUUAAUCUGUUGCAGAAAAAAUUAGGUGUUUUUUUUUGGUGUGUGCAAUAUAUCUAAAAAAUGUGUCAUUUGUUUUCUAUUGCAUGUUUAAGAAUUUCACCAAGAACUUAGCUGCAGCUUCUAAAUUGGUUAACGAGGUUCCACCAUGAUUCUCUAGUUUUCUUGCUAUUAUUAUGUCUCUGUGUUUUUAGAUGAAAUGGUCUCAUAACCGAAUCACCGAUCAACAUUGUCUUUCUUUUUGCUAGAAUAUUUAGGCAAAGUUAAAUGAGGUAACUUCUUUGGUAGGACAUGUUAUGCUUUAGAAACUAUGAGAGGCCGUAUGGAUGGGAGAAACAGAGAAGCGGUGGAAAAAGCAAUCUCCAUGGAUAGCUUUACUAGUAAAUGUGAUAGUUUUGUUUGCACUCUCGCUACCAUAGCCACUUCUUCUUUUCCAUAUGGUAUUACGCCUUUACGAUGACUUGAAUCAACUGUGAAGGGUGUUAAUAAAAUUAUGCAGUCUUUUGUGUCUUGUAGGUUGAGGCUCUAGCCGCUAAGUUAACUCAAAAUGAAGGUGAAUUAAUUCAAGAUAAGUUUGAAGUGAAGAAACUGGCAAGCUUCAUCAAGAAGGUCUUAUAAGUUUCCUUUUCAUGUUUAAUACACUGUAAUUUUGUUAGACAUUUACAGAUUCAAUAUAUUCUCUUCUAGCUUGGUUACUUUUUUUAACAGUCAAUUUAUGUCUUGUAUGUUUACAAUUUUAGGAAAUUAUAAUAAUUAUUAAGUUUUAUCAAAUAAAAAUGUUUACAAUUUUUUAUUUUAAGAUCAAUAUAUUAUUUUAAGAAACUUAUUUAAGGACUCUACCAUUGGACAAAAUUUUCUAUAAGGAUUCAACAUAAACUCUUAAUUUUCAAAUUGUCAUAAUUUAUAAUUAAAAAAUGUUUAAGAGUUUUUUUAAGGACUCUACCAUUGAGCUUGCUCUAAAGGUUUCGGAUUCAUUACUUUCGAGUCUGAGGAUGAUGCACAAAACGCUUUGAAAGCUUUGAAUGGGAAGGUGACCAUCCAAUUCUUUAAUCGUCACUCACUCUUGUAAUGUAGUAUUCAUUCUUGGCUAAAUGGAUCUCAAAUCAGAAAAAUCGUGUGUUCGGCAUAAUCCUUAUCGAUUCAAGGAAAAUAUUCAACAUUGGUGUAUAAAGAAUUGAGCUACUUUGAAAAUUGGACUGAGUUUUGCAUAUGGUUGUUUGUUUUCAGAUUGUUAAGGGCAGAUUAAUAUUUGUGGAAGCUGCAAAGGAAGUAGAAGCACCAAUAACAAUUAUGAAAAAGUAACAAGGCUUGAAGAGUACACACUGUCAUUACAAAACGACUAAAGACUCUUUCACCAAAUCAUUCUAGAGUUCUACAUUGUCACAAUUCUAAAGAGUAAAUGCAUUUCCUGAGAGAUCUGAAGUUUCAAUUUGAGUUGAGGAGAAUCAUUUCUGAUUCUGAUAUAAACCACUUUUCGGUUGAGCAUAUUCGACUCUAAUGUUUCUUCCUUCUAGUAACUGAACAAAAGACAGAACAUAAAGUCAGCAAGACUGUUGUCUAUGAACAGUCAAGCUUUUGUUAGAAUGUCUUUUUUUUCUGGAUUGGUUUUGUGUACAAACCUGAUUGUUCAUGGAAGCUAAAGCACUUGCAGCUGCUUCUUCUGAAUCAAAUAACACAAAGCCAUAACCUUUUGAUUUCCCGCUCUUGUGAUCGCAUAUUACUUUCACUGAACUUUCACAUUCAACAAAAAUAAAUCAGGAAUUGCAUUGGUUUUAUACAUGGAGGAAUUUUGCACAGGACUAAUCAGAUUUCAUGGCGAUUCGUACCUUCAAUAACUUCACCGUACUUUUCAAACUCAUUCUUCAAAACAGGUUCAUUGGUGUCAUAAGAUAGCCCUGCAGUAGCGUUAACACAUUCAGUGUUCUCUUUCACGCAUUUUAUCAAACAUUUAGAGUGCACAUUUUGUAUCAUCGAAAGAAACAAUAUUGACCUUAUGUGUUCUACGGUAAACAGAUUUUCUAAAACAAUUCUAACAACAUUCGCACUAUGAAUGACACGAAAUUGAAGUUAACCAACCGAAAUCGAAGAGAGACAAAAAAUACCUCCGACGAAUAAUUUAGAACAAGAUCCUCGAAUUGUUAAAUAUCGUAAUGAGGAUGUUAAGCAAUUACGACGAACAAAGAGAGGUAAGAACAUUUUAGAUUUUGCUUCACCUCAACGAUAAAUUUAGCACAGUGAAUAAAAGGGUGCGUUAAUGUCGAUGUCAAUGUAAUUUAAUUAAGUAAUUCGCUAAUGACAUUAAUACCAGUGGGCCAAAAGAUUAGACGAAGCAUUUAGAUAGGUCAUAAAAUCAUAUAAUUAGGAAAUGGAAUUUGAACAACCUUCUAAUUCACCAAACACAAAAACAAAGAUUAAAAAGCUUGAAAUUUCUACAAUCACCAAAGCUCAAACACAAACUACCAACGAAAACAUAAAUAAAACUAAAAUUCUAGAAGAUUAAGCUUUCUUGGGAGACUUGACUGGAGAUUUGGUCGCCUUUUCUUCGGUUGAUUUAGUUGCAGUCUUCUUAGGUAGAAGAACAGAAUUAAUGUUAGGCAAAACACCACCGUGAGCGAUUGUGACUCCACUUAGAAGUUUCCCCAAUUCUUCGUCGUUCCUUAUCGCAAGAAGAAGAUGCCUUGGAACGGCGCCAGUUUUUUCGUUAGCAUUUUGAAAGUUUAGCGCUUUUUUAUUGGAUAAUUAACAAGUUACACUAAUUUCUGGUAAACUAAUGUUAGAUAAAUUAUACUUUAAUUAUGUUAAAAAUCCUGAUUUUUACAUGAUCAUGAUCUAAUUUAGAAUUAUAUGUUCGUUGUCUAAAAAGAUAUUCAUCAACCCGCUAUUGUAAGAAAAAUCUUAAUUAUGCUUCUUGAGAUAUUGUGACAAUCUAAUUAUGCUUCUUAAGAUAUUGCGACAAUCUAAUUCAAGAACAAUUAGAGGCUUUCGAAAAUUAGGAAUAGUCGUAAUUGCUUAUAAAGAUAUAUUGAAACUCUUAUUCAAAGCGUAAUAGGUUUUGCGUGUUUGUUAUGACCAUGUUAUCAUAAAUUUGAUGAUCUUAACGGCUUUGGGACAUUAUGAUAAACUUUAAUCAUGCUUCUAAAGAUGGUGAAGCUUUUUUUUUUAUGGGUUAAAUUUUGUGAAGUCCUAUUGUGAGGUCGCAUUAGGAUUUGAUAUUGACAAGUGAGUCCUAAUCAAGUUAAGACAAUCAUGUUGAUGGUGGGUUUUGGGCACGGGCCCAAACCCCCUUUGAAGGCCCAUCAUUCCCACGGCCCAGCACUCUUAAAAGAUAACCUGAGGCCCGUUUAAGGCCCGAUUAGAUGCUCCACCGACCAGGAGGGCAAAAAAGACAUUUUACACGCACAGGGUACCCUACCCCUGUACUCUAUAAAUAGAAAAAAGAAUGAUUGGAAAGGAGAUCCCGAAAUAAUCGCUUUUACAGAGAAUAUCGUACAACCGUCAGAGCACUUUGCGGCUCGGCUCGUACUCUAAGUUUUUAGCUCGUCUAUUUUUGUAAUUGUCGGCUCGUUCUUUAAAUAAGAGAUUUUUCUUUCGCCCUUAAGACUCCGAAUACGUACUUGUGUGAUUUUGAGAAUCAACAGUUGACGCGCCAGGUAGGGGUGAAGCUCGAAGAUUUCUCUCAAAACUACGAACCGACGAAACAUUAAAGAUGCAGACGCAUUCCACAACGCACUCGGCGCAAGUGCCUCCAGCUCGGGAGGAGAAGCAUAUACGCCCGCAGCCGCACCGCCUUCGAUACCCCCGACGCCGGAAGGACCUACCGCGGCAGCUACCGGACCGGACCGCACCCGGCACCACGUCAUGAUGCUCAGUUAACUCCCUCGAACGGACGUAACACGACGAACCCGCAGGUUAACGCCAGAGCCAGGACGAACCAAAGGAGUCAGGACUGCAGCGAACCAGACGACCUGCUUCAAAACAUCCUCACGCACCUGAGCCAGCAAGAGGCCAGGACGAACGUGCGACUCGAAUCUCUGGCAGCAGCCCAGGCUUGCGCUCAGGAUGAAAUCAAUCGCCUAAACGCAAGUCAGACGCAAGGUGUGCGACCCGCUCAAGGAGACCAAGUGCCGACCCGGCAAAUCCAUCCUGUCACUUCGUCGAGCGAAAAUACUCGAGACCUAGAGCUCGCCGAACUACGACGCAUCGUCCAAGAUAUGAACACAAAGGUUCAUAAGGCCACGAGCGCCGCACCGGAACUCGACCGUAAUGUGAAUUAUCUAAGAGGAGAAACUUCAAACCGUCCCACCAACAGUUCCUUUGGUAAGUAAAAUAAAGUUUCAUGAUCCACUCUUCUAGUUCUUGGUGUGUUUACUAAAAAAGUCUGUAGUACUAUGAUAGAUGCAUAUAUGUGACUAGUGACUAUUACACUAGCAAUUACUUGAAUUUGUAUGUAGAUAAUGGAUAAAAACAAUGCAGUAGCUAUUAUUGUUUAAUAUCUACUUGUUUCACAUGAUUGGUCUAAAGAAGCAAAUCAACUUAAGCAAAAGGUUCAACAAACAUUGUUAACACCAAAAACAGAACAAAAAAACUAAAUGGGCAUAUCUGGUUUCUUGCCAACAUCACAAGUAUCCUCUAAGACAGUACCUCCAUUGGAGAUUUCACCAUUGGGUAUCUCUGCAGAAGCUGAAUCAAUGACCUCUUCUUGUUCUUCUUCUACAUCUCCUACUUCUUCAACUUCUUCUUCAACCUCUUCUACUUCUUCCAUUUCUUCUACUUCAUCUUCUUCUUCUUCUUCGAUGCAUUGUGGCGGGUCUAGAAACGAAGCAUCCGGGUCUGCAUACCAACGUGCACAAGGCCACCUGAAAGAAAUAUCCAAAACCCAAGAUAAACAGUAUUAUCAUCCAAAAAUACGAAAACUUAUGACAAAAACCUCUGUUUUAUACACCAAUCUGAUUACUUACACGCUUGAACAAAUGGUUUCACCAUCAAUUGUUGUUGUCUCCUCAUAUUCAUCCACUGAAACAAAAAAAGAUCAAAUUUUUUAUGAAAUCUUAACCACAAGAACAAGAAAUCNNNNNNNNNNNNNNNNNNNNNNNNNNNNNNNNNNNNNNNNNNNNNNNNNNNNNNNNNNNNNNNNNNNNNNNNNNNNNNNNNNNNNNNNNNNNNNNNNNNNUAAAGUCAGCUUCAUAUCUUCGAUACUUCUCAGCAUACUCAUCGCUAUCCAGAUACCUAAGAAUGAAAUUGGUAUUUGUGAACAUUCAAUUUUAGGUUCUUCAAUUGCACCACAAAGAAAAGGAAGCAAAAUUACUUGUAAAAGGAUGGUUCUUCAACAACCAGUUGAUCUGUUAAAAUUCCAUUGCUAUUCACAAUAUCCAUCAUCUGCAAUACAGUCAGAGUUUUAUAGAUCGUGUAAAUUACUCUGUGAGAGAGCACAGAGAGCGGAGAGAAUACCGUAAUUUGUGCCGCCGGAGAGGGAGGAGCGGCGGAAAUAUGUUCAGAGAUGACUGGAAUCUCCUGCGGCGGUGGCUGCUCCACCUGCGGAGGCCGAAUCGCCGGAGAUGUAGCACUCUCGCUCGUCAUACGUCUUCAGUUUUUUUUUUUUUUUUUGAAUUUUUUUUUGAAAACUCAAUCUAUUGACUAUGAUUGUCAUUGUACUAUCUUGGUUUUUUUUUUUGUCAACUUUUUAUAUUAGAAUCAAUUUAUGAAGACUAGGUUUUUGUCUUUUAUAUACUUCUAUAUUAAAUUCAUUUUUGUAAUUUGAAAUUUAUUAAUUUAAAUAUUAAAAAUCAGAUAAUUUCCCGCAUAAUUAAGUAAUUUCGUGUCAAAAAAAUGUCCGCAUAAUCGGUUUCUUUUUUACUUUCGGAAUUUGAUCAAUUUAGUACGAUAUUUGAUGUGUGUAUAUGUAUAUACUAAAUUUAUAUAAGAAUAGGUAAUUAUAUGCAUACGCACCGUUAAAAACUAAAAUUGUUGUAUUGUAGUUUAGGUAGAAUAGUUAAACUUGAAUUUGUAUUGUAGUUUAAGUGGAAUUCUUAAAAUUGAAUCUGUAUUGUAGUUUAGGUAUAGUAUUUAAAAUUAAUUUUGUAUUGCAUUGUAGUUUAGGAUAAAUAGUUAAGAUGGAAAUCAAUCUAAGUAAUUUAGGUAUAAUAGUUAAAAACUUAAAAUUCAAUUUGUAGGAUAAAUUUGAAAUGGAAAUAAAUCUUCUUAGUAAUUUAGGUAGACUGCUUAAACUUGAAUUUGUAAUAUAGAUCGACUUUGGAAAAUUUUCUUUUAAUUUAGGAAGAAUGGCUAGAAUAAAAUUAAUUAAGAAAGAUAAAAGGAAGAGGGUUAAUUGUUUGCAGGGUAAAAGAAAUCUUACUAGUUGGUUUGCAGACAUCAUGUCAUGAUAAAAUAGUCACUAUUC
rnacentral:lncRNA from 1 species